rnacentral:rRNA from 1 species
UACGUAGGUGGCAAGCGUUGUCCGGAUUUACUGGGCGUAAAGAGCGCGUAGGCGGUCGUUCAAGUCAGGUGUGAAAGCCCCCGGCUCAACUGGGGAGGGUCACUCGAUACUGAUCGACUCGAAGGCAGGAGAGGGAAGUGGAAUUCCCGGUGUAGUGGUGAAAUGCGUAGAUAUCGGGAGGAACACCAGUGGCGAAGGCGACUUCCUGGCCUGUUCUUGACGCUGAGGCGCGAAAGCUAGGGGAGCAAACGGG